rnacentral:rRNA from 1 species
UACGUAGGGAGCAAGCGUUGUCCGGAUUUAUUGGGCGUAAAGCGCGUGUAGGCGGCCAGGUAGGUCCGCUGUGAAAACCCGAGGCUCAACCUCGGGACGUCGGCGGAAACCAUCUGGCUAGAGUCCGGAAGAGGAGAGUGGAAUUCCCGGUGUAGCGGUGAAAUGCGCAGAUAUCGGGAAGAACACCCGUGGCGAAGGCGGCUCUCUGGGACGGUACUGACGCUGAGGCGCGAAAGCUAGGGGAGCAAACAGG